rnacentral:rRNA from 1 species
AUGGGGCAUGCAAAGGCAAUUGACGAGGCGGAUCUGCAAGAGAUCAUGGCACUGCGUGAUGAUUUUGGCGCUCUGCAGCAGGAUAAUGUUCAGAUGCGGUCCGAGAUGUCAAAAUUACAGGGGGAGGUGCUGUCCAUGAGUGCUAAACAAGGAGAAAUCUCCAAGCAGGUUGGAGGGGUUAUGGACCUCAACAAACAACUGUCUACCAUCAGUUCAGUGCUGCAAUCGCUAGUAAAAACCACAAUAACACUUACUCAGAGUGAAAUGCCCUCCACCUCUCGUCAAGUUCCCAAGUCCCCAACGCUGCAGCAAGAAAACAUUCAGGAUCAGCUGACCAGAAUAGAAUAG